rnacentral:rRNA from 1 species
UAUCCUAGUACUGCGAGUGAGCGGGAUGAGCUCAAAUUUAAAAUCUGGCGGUCGUUGUGGCCGUCCGAGUUGUAGUCUGGAGAAGUGUUAUCCGCGUCGGACCGUGUACAAGUCUCCUGGAAUGGAGCGUCAUAGAGGGUGAGAAUCCCGUCCAUGACACGGACGCCCGAUGCUUUGUGAGGCACUCUCGAAGAGUCGAGUUGUUUGGGAAUGCAGCUCAAAAUGGGUGGUAAAUUCCAUCUAAAGCUAAAUAUUGGCGAGAGACCGAUAGCGAACAAGUACCGUGAGGGAAAGAUGAAAAGCACUUUGGAAAGAGAGUUAAAUAGUACGUGAAAUUGUUGAAAGGGAAACGCUUGAAGUCAGUCGCGUCCCGUGGAACUCAGCCUGGCUUCGGCCUGGUGUAUUUUCUAUGCGGACGGGUCAACAUCAGUUUUGGCCGGCGGAAAAAGGCAGAGGGAAUGUAGCGCCGCUUCGGUGGCGUGUUAUAGCCCUCUGUCAAAUACGCUGGCGGGGACUGAGGACCGCAGCACGCCCUUGCGGCCGGGGGUUCGCCCCACGUUCGUGCUUAGGAUGUUGGCAUAAUGGCUUUAAGCGACCCGUCUUGAAACCACGGAACC